ACAAAAGUAUUGAGAAGGAUAAGGAUUUAAGGAAGCUGUUUACAGAGAGGCGAGCAUUGCUGAGAGCUCACCAACGAUUGCACCUUACAAUUCACCACCUUUGAACUGACUAUCUGAACUUACAGUAAGAUAGUCCGGAACCUUUUCCGUUACCAAGGCCCAUGAGGAUAGCUUCGGCUAUUAAAUGAGGGUGGAACCACGACUGUUCAUUCAGACGUCCCUUUG
rnacentral:ncRNA from 1 species